AAUUUUAAAUCAAAGUUCACUGCGUAAUUUGAAAUAACUUUAUUGCGUAAAAAGUUAUUAUUUUCCCUCUCCGAUGAUAAGAACAUUAGUGCGAUUACACGCACAAACGUAGAGGGCGCAUCUUCUCGCACGUACUUCUACACAAACAUAUAUCUCGUCUCCCUAUCUAUCUCAGAUUUUCGCGAGAGCAUUUUACGUCAUGAAGGCGACUGGUGAAUCCACAGGUCGAUAAGGCAUGAAAAAUUGAAAGAAGCGCGUCUCCACGUGCUAAACUGGGGGUAGGUGAGGAGAACCCCCUAGAAAGGUCCGGAUAACGCGACGGGUGGGAGUUGGAAUCAAGUGGUAGGGAUCGCACAAGCGUGUAACAAACAUAAAGGUGGGGAGGUACUCAGACUUGCCAGAGCAGCUCUACAACCGCAAGAGAACCGGCAACGUUGCAGAUUGAUCAGGACGCCACGCGGCCGUCACGUAAGACAAAUAAAUGGAACGAACCGAGGAUAACGCCGGAAAUGAUAUAAUUUCUCUCAUAGACAGUGUUCGCAUAAUCCAGCAUAAAAUAUGGGGGAAGACAGUCGCAUUACGACGUUAUAAAGUGGAACUGCAUCCUUCAGCCGCGUGCACGAUAGAUGGUCUUAAAUGGUCGUUUAACACACGUUGCCUGUUACAUCAGGUAUAAUCACGCACGCGCACCAGGAUAACAGACCGGAUGCGUGAAGAUAGAGAGCGAAUUACGACGUUUAAAUCAUCCGCAUUACGAAUAAAGUUGCGUGUAUGAUA